UACCCGCUGAACUUAAGCAUAUCAAUAAGCGGAGGAAAAGAAACCAACAGGGAUUACCUCAGUAACGGCGAGUGAAGCGGUAAAAGCUCAAAUUUGAAAUCUUCGGAAUUGUAAUUUGUAGGAUAGUCUAGUCAACACAUUAAGUUCAUUGGAAAAUGACGCCUUAGAGGGUGAUAGCCCCGUAGUGAAGACACUUUCAGUCUAUCCCAAGAGUCGGGUUGUUUGGGAAUGCAGCUCUAAGUGGGUGGUAAAUUCCAUCUAAAGCUAAAUAUUGGCGAGAGACCGAUAGCGAACAAGUACAGUGAUGGAAAGAUGAAAAGCACUUUGAAAAGAGAGUGAAAUAGUACGUGAAAUUGUUGAAAGGGAAGGGCUUGCGGGGGGUGAGAGAGUGAAGACACCAGUGAGGAAAAGGGGAAAGAGAUGUAACUAGAAAUAGUAUUAUACUCUUUUCUGAUACUCUUUGGAGUCUUCAGGACCGCUAAACAGGACUCUCUCUUAACCGCCGCAAGUCGCCCGUCUUGAAACAC
rnacentral:rRNA from 1 species